UUAAUAUCCAAACAAGGAGAGAAAAAUAACUUUAAAAUUAUUUUUAUUUUUCUUACUCAUUUUUCCUGUUUUAUUUUCCUUCCUCUCAAAUAAAGUUCCCAAACAUAGUGUUACUUCCAAAAUGUUAUUUUCUUCCCAAAUGCGCUUAAUCCUAUUCCCAUGUUUCAUCAUCUGCUCCAACGACCAAGCUUCCACAUCUCCUUGCAUUCGGCGAUGAACAUGUUCGUUUCUUGCUUUCUGUUUAUCUAUCCACAAUCUUAACUACAAAACUAUUCAACUAAAACGUAACAGCAUCCAGGCCCAUUACAUAUUUUAAUCACACAAUUAAUGUCAUGAUUCUCAUCUCUAUACCAAAAAUCAACACCCUGUCAUCAGCAAAAGCUUUUUACACACCAUUGUUUUGAAAGUGAAAUUGCCCUAUAUAUAAUUCAGCUCCACAAUGUAAGUAAUAAUUGACAACUACAAUCACAUUACCACAGGAAAAUGUGUAAGAAGACCAAUAUAAGUAAAUGCAAGAGGAUGCAAAAAAAUCAGGGACCAGUUGUGAAUGUCGUGAACAAAUUAACUAAAAUGACGGUUAUCCUACAGGGUCUAUGGAAGCUCAAGUGUGCACAAGGAGGAAUCACAACAGCGAACAUUGAAUCUGAUUCCCAUGUGCUGCCAUCCUGAUGCACUAAAAGCUUGCGUGAAGGCGUUGGAUUUCAGUCAGAUAUGCCCGUGGAUCUACAGUACGCAUUAAUAUAAAUAAUAGAAAGAAUUCAAUACAACAAUCAUAUGCAUACAUAAGAAUGAUAAACACAAAAAUAUAAACUUUCAUAUAUAUUGCCACAAUCAGAAGAGAAAAAAAAAAUGGAAGCAAACAAAGAUAGCAAUGAAUAACAGAAGUAAUGAAAGAUUUCACUGCAAUAAUUAAGAGAAAGAAGAAGGAUCAUUCGUACAGCUCUUGACUGAAUCAGCUGACAUCCUUGAGUCUUUUUAUCAAAGCAUCCAGAGAUUUCUUCUUCGGAUUCUGCCUGGCUCCCCUGCUCCCAAAUGUUCCAAACAGUCUAUCUGAAGGAUCCCUCAACUUCUCUGAUAUAGUCACUACUUUCCUAUAAUCCAAUGUAUUAUAGCUCCUCUCCCUAAUUACGGGGUUCAAAAAGUUCUCCGGGUGAUUGCUCAAAAGCAAAUUAAUCAAUUGCCUUAUCUCAGCAAGUGCUGCUCCCAACUGAUUUGUGUCUCCCUCGGAGAACGAAGAAGCCAGAUUAUCCGCAAAAGAUUCCAACAGUCGGAUAUCUACAUCAAUUCCCAUGAUAGCAUUCACAUUAAACCUCUUAACAGAGUCACCAAACAAUGUCCCCACUAUUGUCUCUGAUAUAUGAAAAAGAACAUCCUGUAAAACCCUUUUAAGAACACGAACCGGCAAUAUCUGUUGAGCAGUAGAAACCAGAGUUUCCAAAUAAAUUAUGACCUCAUUCACAUAUUCAUUUCCACUCUGUAUGGGCUCAUCAGCCAUCCAGUUCACAUUCUCAAUCAAUGUCAUGAAACCAUCAGCCUUCUGUUUAAGCAACCCAGAUAGCAUCUCUUCUGCUGCAUCACGAGCUUUGUUUAGUGGAAACUGCCUCCUACACCUCUCCGCCAUUCUCAAGGUAAUACCAGAAAGCUGAGCAGCAUGACGAAAGAAGAAGUCACAAGCAUGUUCCAUCACUGCCAUAUUUGCUGCAACCUGCAUAGCUUGGGAAACCCCAUGGACUGAUGUAUUUAUAAGCUUCAACAAAGCUUCAUCCAGAACCUCACUCAAAAGCCGAUCCAGAUACUUCUUAACAACAUCAAAGAAAUCAAGCUGCCCACCAUAAGACAUAAAACUCACAGAAUCUUCAAUAAAGGACCGCACGAUUCGACAGCAAUCUGGCACCGUGGAUGAAAAUGGUGCAACGUAAGGAAAUGCAGGUAUAAUAUCCGAAGUCUGUAUCUGAAAUGAAAGCACAUUCAUUGAAUAUUCAUACUCUUUCUUCAUCAACAUUUGCUCAAACUUAUCAGCAGCGAGUGCCUCAGCAAUCUGCUUACGACAAUCAGACAACAAUAACUCAUGGUACUUAUCCCUGUGCUUGCUCAAAACGUCUAAUAAAGCAUCCACAGGAUACCCAUAUCUGCGCAAAGUCACUCCAAGCAAACUCACGUAGUCCUUUAUCAACAAAAGAUGAUUCGCAGUUUGCAUCCUAGAAAACUGAUCUUCUAACACUGAACACAUCUUACUAACAGCAGUCUCCCACAAAUUCUCAACGUCCAUUCUCGAAAUCAGACCCCCUCCAGUCCUCAAAAUGCGAUCUUCUACUAUAAAAAACCCAGCAAUUUGCGCAAAAAAAGUUUGAUGAGAUUCAAGAAACGGCGUCAUGGAUGAUACCUGAAAAUCUGAAGUCAAUUGAAGCUUCCUAUUCUCAAAAUAAUACUGCUUAAACCGAUCUUCAAGCCCUAAUGUCUGGUGUACAUGGUAAGCCCUAUAUAGCGGAGUCAAAUCAAACCCUAACAAUCCAGUACCAUUGCUAUGCCCAUCCUUAACAUCAUCUCCGAUACCAACAUUAAGCCCAUCGUCAUCAUCUUCGUCUUGCAAAGCAUAAACGCAAUCUCGCAAACUCAGACGACUUUGCUCUUCAGCCUGCCUCUGCUUGAUUCUCAGGUCCUCUUCUCGCUGCCUCGCCGCGGAGGCUUGACCUAUCGCCAACUGCCCCAAAUUCCGACUCACUACACGGAUCUCCACGAGCCAAUCACCAAACUCCUUGCUCACUUUUCUCUCUAUAUGCGAUCGGAUCUCAGGAAUCUUCUUCUCCAACAUCCUCUUCAAAGCAGAAGAUGGCGUUUUAUCCAAUAACUCGCUCUCGAUCACAUCCACACACUUCAAGGCCAUGUAGAAAUUACCGCUUGAUAAAUGAUGGUUGGCUCUGGAACAAAGCUCCAUGAGCUUGAUACAUGACAUGAUUAAGGUAAGAGCUAAGUUCACAUUGCGAGAGACGGUUUGGGCCUCGAUAUAGGAGUCGAGCACCGUCAACAGAGGACCAGCGACAGACUGAAGCUUGGAAUUGGAAUCGGAAAGGGCGGAUUUCAAUAAAUCGACGUCGGAGAGCAAGGAUCGCAGGUCAUCGACGGCCAGGAUGAAGUCUUGGUAAUGAGCUUUGCAAACUUCCUCAAUUUCUGACUCUUUGGAGCGAGCGAAUUGGCGGAGAUUGUGGAGGAGUGUCUCGGGCUUACCUGAAGCGAAUGCCUUGCGGACGAAAGGGCCAAGGUCCUCGCCGUUGCAGAUGGCGGCGGAGAGUAGUAGCUGGUCUUGCUUGUCGGCGGAGUUGUCAAGGACUCCGUUGGCCGGAGCCACUUUCCGGCGGAGCUUUGUGGAGUGCAUUUUGGAGGGGAUUAUUGGAGGGAUAUGGGAGACGAUCUAGGAGACGGAUUGAGAAGCGGUUGUAUAGACACAAGAGGAUGGAAUCGGAGAUUGGUUUGACUAAUUUGACGGGGUGUAAAU
rnacentral:misc_RNA from 1 species